UGCUUUUCUUUUUUUUUUUUUUUUUUAUUAACUUGAGUAUUUCUUAUAUACAUUUCGAGUGUUAUUCCCUUUCCCGGUUUCCGGGCAAACAUCCCCCUCCCGGCCUUUGCUUUUCUAAGCCAAGUGUAAUAUUCCUGUUGGAACAAGAGAAAGAGCCAUGGAGAGUGCGGACAGAGCUGACGGGCAGUUUGUCCACGGGUGAGUGCAGAGGAAAUGGACAGGCAGCCACCUCUGAUGUGACUGCUCAACCUGACUCAAGACAAUGUCUCUCUGUUCUUUUGUGUGGCGUGUUCCCAAAUGCGUGGGCCUGAAAGAAACUGGGCCUUCGAGGUCACAAUCCCCACGAUCACCUGACUCCUCUGUCGCCAUGCUCUGCCUGUUGGUCCCAUAACUCACUUCACCAUUGUCUGACUCCUGCUCUUUCUCAGGUCCGCAGUUCCCUUCCAGUUUGGAAAUACUCUUUCCCUGAUUUGAUGAACUCCAGGCCCACACCGAGAGUCAACAGAAUCCAGGCUCAAAUCCUGACUCAUGUAGUGAAAUCCUAGAAAAGUUGCCUAAUCUCCAUUUUGUCAUACCUAGAAUAAUUCUCCUGAAGUACCUUGAACCUUGUAUGCUGUGAACUCAGUGCUGUUCGCUCCGGUUAGUGUUGGCAGUGUAUCCACAAAUGCCUGGUCUUUCUGUCAGUCAGUCCAUCCUCUUCUGCUCCUCCAAUCAAUACCAGCGUUACUAACUAGCACCUCCCACACCACUCCUUCCUGUCUCCUCACCCCAAGGUACCAUACAUGUGUUACAUGUGUGUACAGAAAACCACACUGUUGGUAGGCUAGCAGCAGAGACAGCUACAGACAGCAUGUAUGAAGCGAAAGUGUGCCGUGCUGGAAACCCAGAAACAGACAGAAUUCUGGGUAGUGGGAAGAUGGACGGUUUUUAAGGAAAGCAAAGGCUGGGAGCCUGUGUAUGAGACUGAAGAGUUAAUCCCAAAGCAGGAACUCUAUGAAGAAGAGUCAUCCAGAAAGAUAAUAGAAGAACUUAGAAGUCUUGGCCUGGAGUAUCCCAGUUUGGUGGGAGAAUGGAGCCAGGGUCAUCAUUUCAAGAGGCAAUACGGGAAUUUAAAGGUUUGUCUCGGGGCUGGAGAGAUGGCUCAGCGGUUAAGAGCACCGACUGCUCUUCCAGAGGUCAUGAGUUCAAUUCCCAGCAACCACAUGGUGGCUCACAACCAUCCGUAAUGGGAUCUGAUGCCCUCUUCUGGUGUAUCUGAAGACAGCUACAGUGUACUUGUAUAUGA
rnacentral:lncRNA from 1 species